rnacentral:rRNA from 1 species
UACAGAGGUGGCAAGCGUUGUUCGGAAUUACUGGGCGUAAAGGGCGCGUAGGCGGCCAUCUAAGUCAGACGUGAAAUCCCCCGGCUCAACCUGGGAACUGCGUCUGAUACUGGAAGGCUAGAGUUUGGGAGAGGGAUGUAGAAUUCCAGGUGUAGCGGUGAAAUGCGUAGAUAUCUGGAGGAAUACCGGUGGCGAAGGCGGCAUCCUGGACCAAUACUGACGCUGAGGCGCGAAAGCCAGGGGAGCAAACGGG